rnacentral:lncRNA from 1 species
UAGAUAUCUUACCAAUCCAAUUGGGUUUUUUCUAAACGGAGCCUGGAUACUUCAUUUUUUUUGUCCAACCAAGCCAACCAUAAACUAUUCUAAUUGAAUUUUUCUAAUUGAUAAUAGUAAUAUGAAUCCCCUAAAAAAUGGAUAUAAUUGCGCUUCACGCUCCAAAUUUUUGAUGAUUAAACUUAUCUUUCUUGGGUGAAACGGGGG